GACAGCUUCGCCUGACCCCUACUUCUCACUCGCCAGAGCAUCUUCUUUUUUCCGGCACCGGCACCUACAACGGCAACCGACGAUAUCAGAGAAACCGGCGGCAGAGUCAUCUUCUCCUCUGGCAUCGGCACCUACAACGGCAACCAGCGAAAAACCGGUCUCCUUCUCCCGGCACCAAGAUUCCCAGUACGAAACCAACCCCCUUUGAGGAGGGAAAAUGUCGAAGGCGAUCUGGGAGACGAUGGGUUGGAGCCCUGAAAUAGUCGGGGGCUUUUUGUUGUCACUGUAGUCUUGCAUUGGAGCUUGGGACUGUUGUCAUGCGAAGAUGGUGGUGGCACAGUAGACGCUGCGGUCGUUCGGCACCGCAAGCUGGGGCUUGAAACUGGUUCUGAUUGCAAGCGCGGGGUGGAGGGAUUGGACUUCAAGCGCGGCGUUGAGGGAUUGCUACCGCCGGACAGAAAAAGGGCUAACUUUGUACAGCUUUGGGACUGGGGCUGGGGCUGGUUGAUGGGCCGCGAAGGUCGAAGAGGGUAUCCACGCGUAACCCAAAUACGUGGACUGAAAUUGGGUCCAUACAUACCCAGCCCAUCACGUAUGGCCCAUGCAAGCCCAUGGAGCGGCCCAGCAGAGCAGGAUUCGGCCAACCACAAAAAGCGAUCAAGCAGUUAGUUGUUGAGGGUAGCUAGUAUCAAGCAUGUUGUUAGCAGUUAGCUGGUCUUAAGCAUAAGAUUGAAUCAAAUAAGUUAUCUAUUAUUUCUGUUA